UUUCUUCAUUUUCCUCAUCCGAGUUGGCACCUGGCUCAUAACUGUACGACUGGAUGGCUCCGAUGCUGCUCCUUAUAUUUGUUUAACCGGUAAUAUUAGGUUGGGGUUCUAAACUAGCAGGAGAGAGUGUAAACAAAGGGAUGAUGGGAAAUGGAGGAACAAACGAGACCCUCCACAACUAAGAGGCAAGUUUCUAAGGAACUACUGCUGCUCUGUCAUAGAAAAGGUUUUUUUGAUUUUGCCUUCAUCAGGCUGUCAUUGAGAGACCAGCUGGAAUGGACAUGUCUUAAAACGUUUCUACAGAUUUCAGGUUUUUUUUUUUACACAGAGAAAAACAAAAAAAAGAGUUUUAAAGAGCCAAAGCAGGUCACUGCAAAGGCUUCAGGGAAUCCAAGAUUCCAAUUCUGGUUUGUUCUGGAUCAGAAACUGCUAAUCUGAGCAUUCAGUCAUGAGCCACGGUUAAACAGUUUAGAAAGCAUUACAAAAGCAGUGUGCCACAUUUUUACACCUAAGGUCUGUAAACCAAUUAAGGGCACCUGGGAUCUCCAAGUCUGUCUGUUUCUUAUCUCCUGCCCGAUUGCCCUUUUCACCCUCCUGUCUCCUUGCUGAGGUCUGCUGCCAACCUAGCAUUUUUAAUUUACUGGAUCGUUAAACUCAGAAAUCUAUUUUUGUGGCACCCUGAUGCAACAGCCAGUGAAAGACGUAUUACUAUGAAAUCAUGGUGCAGAGGGUCUGACUCUGCAGGAACAAUCAAGGUUAAUCAGUGAUGUCUGCCAUGGAGAGCAGUUUUAUUGACCCUCGGACAACAUAUUCCAGGAUGAAAUGGAUGAAGACAAUGGAGGACAUGUGAAGGCAUAAAAAAUAAGCUUUCUGUUUCGGUUGCCUCUCCACAUUUCCUCAUCCCUCCUUCCGUUGAUUUUCUGCCGUCAUCCUGGUGGCGUGAGUUAGGAAUUUGCUCCUGUGUCACAAGUUCUCAUCGUUGUCAAACCCACCCUGCAUCAUUUACUGAAACUCCACGAGCAAAGAUGUGAGUAAUCUGAACUCCGCCUGAACCACCCAGCACACACUCCACACACACACACUAAUAAAUGUGUGCAAGCCCAGAUGCUGCACUGUAAUUGCCCACUGUGGCUUCCCGCUGUGGCAAAGAUAUUUUUAACACACAUGCUUAAAGCCACACACAAUAAUCCUUGCCUCUGCAGCAUCUGCCACAUCCCCCAACAUGUGCUGGUUAAAUGCAACCACACAUGCACAAACACACACACACUGCAGGCCGUGACCAUGAAGGCAGUCCCUCCCUGUUUAACCACCACGAAAAAAAAAAAAAAAAAGAUGUGGCUAUUCAUCGAAAGGCAGAAGUUUUUCCUCUGAGACUAAACCUGCUGCUGUUUUCAUCUUCAGCAGUGUUUCUCUUGGACGGCUCGCUUGAUUCUGCGGUGAAGGCCUCUGGAACAAUCUUUGAGUCACGUGACGCUUUGGUACAAACCUGCAGCGAAGGGAUGAGGUUCUCCCAGAAAGUGUUUGUCAUGUAGCCAGAGCUAAUCUUAAUGUUUUCUCACAUUCGCUGCUCCCUUUCACACCUGCAUGGCUAACAUUACACUGUUCUCGACAGGGAACGCAUUUCUCUGAUAGACGUGUCCUGAAUUUUCAUCUUCUGCACAUGGUGGGUUUUGCUGUCUGCAUUUGUUUGGCAAACACUUACUGACAGCAAUUCUUGAAUAAAUAAUUGAGACGUGAUGCCAAAAUGUGCCAGGAGCUAUUUGAAGUAGACGCUCAGCAGGAGAUAACAAAUUCAUGGCCCUGAUUAAGAAGGUCCUGCAGUAACUACGAAUGAUUUCUACCUUUUUGACUUUGCUGAUUGAUAACAAACGAUGUGAAAUAGUUUUGAACUGCUUUGACAUUUAAUGAUAACUGUCUGUGAUAACACUAGGUUUGACCUGGAAUGAAUUGAAGUGAAACUGAAACUGAUUAUAACAGUUUUUAUUAGUUAAAACAGCUUUUUUCAAAAUAAAUUAACAGAAAAACCUUGGGUCUUUUAAUUUUUUUUUCACUUAAUCACAUAUCUUUCAAGAAAGGAAGGGUACAUACGAAAAUCUAUUAGAAAUAUAACAGGAGUCAUGGUCAUUUGAAGUGUUAAAAUCAAGUUGUAUGCAUAAUCAACCAUUUCUACACCAGUUAGGGGCAAAACAAGGUAAAAAAAAAAGGUGUUUGCGUUUGCAGAUGGUACUUUUUAUGUACCAAAUAGAUGCAUCUCUAUUCAAGCAUUUUUAAGGUCAUAAAAUGAGUAAUCUGGACACUGUGAAGCAGCUCCUAAAGGUGUUGGCAAGAGCUGAGAAAACAGUUGAAAUAAAAAUGGUGAAGGCAACUAUGGACCCCAUAGUUAUCCAAACUGUGACAAAUGUGACCCCCAAACCUGGAGAGGGAUUCCUGCAGAAUCUGGGAACAACAUUUAAGUCCAGAAAAGACCCUCAAGCUCUCAGGCCGUCAUAAAGAGCUCAUACUUGAAGGGAAUCAGAGCACUCACAGCUCAAGAGAAGAAUUAUUACAUAUGAUGACAUUGGAGGAUUCUGUGAUUUCCCUUUUGUCAAAAAUAUUAUUGCAAUGACAAUAAUAAACAAAUUUGCUUAUUAUUUGUGUAUUUUAACAGCUAUGCAGUUUAAAGGCAAAUGCCUAUAACAGUUAUGAUUCUCUUAAUCUUUUUUCAUCAGUUAACUGUUUAAAUUAUACACUAGCAUCAUUUACAUUUUUGUCAUUUAUCAUUUUUUUCUGCAUUUGUUGUCAUUGUUUGCAAAAGGCUGUUAAUUAAUUGAUUUAAUGUGUUAUUUUUCUGUUUUUUAAGUGAUGCACUAGACAUGUAAGAUAUUAAAACGCUGAUGUAGACAUGGGAUUUUUUUUUUUUGUUUGAAUCAGAAAAAGAAUGUGGACGUAGUGUCAAAGACAGUUGUUUAAGUCAAUGUCAUUAAAGCUGAUUUGUCUUUUUGGAGGGAAAAAGUGACCCAGAUGGUCAUUCGGGUAACUUGGUGAUUAACUGCUUUAGUGUAGCCAAGUUUCACGAAUCAAACAGAUUGCUGUCUUUUCAGUGUGAGCAGCAAAUAAUUCCCACAAGAUAGUAUCUUAAUAUUAAUAUUUAUUUUGGGGUCGUUUCUGCACGUCUGAUUGGAAACUUUUGAAAGGCACGUCUUUACUGGUGGAAGCCAUUUUUCAUCAGCCUGUGUCUGAAGGGCAGGGACGGUCCAGGUUGGAGCGGAGAGGGAUCUGCCAUCUCUUGAAGAGCAUUUACCAUCUACCAGCCUCACUAGUUAAGAGAGUCUGAGGGAGGAGGGGGGUUGGGGGGGGUGAGAGGCAAAGAGGGAGAGCGCGAUGGAUGUAUCAAACAGCAGCCCCCUGCCGAGCAGGGAAUGGAAAAGCUGCUGGCACCAACAUGAAUAUUUCAGCAGAUAGCUACAGCUCUCUGUACCACCCCCUUCACCCCAUCUCUCUGUCUGUCAGUCUUUCGCUCUCUGUCUCUCAUCUUUUGCUUCUUUCCACUUCCCUCCACCCCCUUCCACACCGCCUCCCCCCCCUUCACUGUCUCACGGAAUG